rnacentral:rRNA from 1 species
GACGAACGCUGGCGGCGUGCUUAACACAUGCAAGUCGAACGGAAAGGCCCUGCUUGCAGGGUACUCGAGUGGCGAACGGGUGAGUAACACGUGGGUGAUCUGCCCUGCACUUCGGGAUAAGCCUGGGAAACUGGGUCUAAUACCGGAUAGGAGCCAUUUUUAGUGUGAUGGUUGGAAAGUUUUUUCGGUGUAGGAUGAGCUCGCGGCCUAUCAGCUUGUUGGUGGGGUAAUGGCCUGCCAAGGCGGCGACGGGUAGCCGGCCUGAGAGGGUGGACGGCCACAUUGGGACUGAGGGACGGCCCAGACUCCUACGGGAGGCAGCAGUGGGGAAUAUUGCACAGUGGGCGCAAGCCUGAUGCAGCGACGCCGCGUGGGGGAUGACGGCCUUCGGGUUGUAAACUCCUUUCGCUAGGGACGAAGCUUUUGUGACGGUACCUAGAGAAGAAGCACCGGCUAACUACGUG